UUCUUCGGAGCUUGAGACCGGCGCACGGGUGCGUAACGCGUAUGCAAUCUACCUUUUACAGAGGGAUAGCCCAGAGAAAUUUGGAUUAAUACCUCAUAGUAUAAUUGAAUGGCAUCAUUUAAUUAUUAAAGUCACAACGGUAAAAGAUGAGCAUGCGUCCCAUUAGCUAGUUGGUAAGGUAACGGCUUACCAAGGCUACGAUGGGUAGGGGUCCUGAGAGGGAGAUCCCCCACACUGGUACUGAGACACGGACCAGACUCCUACGGGAGGCAGCAGUGAGGAAUAUUGGACAAUGGGCGCAAGCCUGAUCCAGCCAUGCCGCGUGCAGGAUGACGGUCCUAUGGAUUGUAAACUGCUUUUGUACAGGAAGAAACACUGGUUCGUGAACCAGCUUGACGGUACUGUAAGAAUAAGGAUCGGCUAACUCCGUGCCAGCAGCCGCGGUAAUACGGAGGAUCCAAGCGUUAUCCGGAAUCAUUGGGUUUAAAGGGUCCGUAGGCGGUUUGGUAAGUCAGUGGUGAAAGCCCAUCGCUCAACGGUGGAACGGCCAUUGAUACUGCUAGACUUGAAUUAUUAGGAAGUAACUAGAAUAUGUAGUGUAGCGGUGAAAUGCUUAGAGAUUACAUGGAAUACCAAUUGCGAAGGCAGGUUACUACUAAUAUAUUGACGCUGAUGGACGAAAGCGUGGGUAGCGAACAGGAUUAGAUACCCUGGUAGUCCACGCCGUAAACGAUGGAUACUAGCUGUUGGGCGCAAGUUCAGUGGCUAAGCGAAAGUGAUAAGUA
rnacentral:rRNA from 1 species